UUUGCACACAUGUACGUAAAUUGCACUCACAUACACACACAUAGUCAAACAAGUUCAGUGUGUGUUCAACAGCCCCCACCCUUUAGGUUGGACACACCUAUGUAGUAGCUUUCCCAAUAAAUGAGGAGGUGAAGGGGGAGAUCGUUAGGGGUUACGUGCCGAGAACUGAAACCGAACGCUUCUCCUCGUUCCCUCCUGGUACCAGAA